GCCUGCCCAGUGACUCUGUUCAACGGCCGCGGUAUCCUAACCGUGCGAAGGUAGCGUAAUCACUUGUUCUUUAAAUGAGGACUAGUAUGAAUGGCACCACGAGGGUUAUACUGUCUCCUCUUUCUAAUCAGUGAAAUUAAUCUCCCCGUGAAGAAGCGAGGAUUAAACUAUAAGACGAGAAGACCCUAUGGAGCUUUAAACAAAGUUACACCUGCAUCGAUUUAAUACAAAUUUCAGAAAAUCUUCUUAGCCCAUGCAAAUUGUUUACUAGUUUUAGGUUGGGGUGACCGCGGAGCAAAAAGUAACCUCCACAUUGAAAGGAGCCUAAUCCUUAGCUAAGAGCCACACCUCUAAGCACCAAUAAAAUGACAUCAAUUGACCCAAUAAUUUGAUCAACGAACCAAGUUACCCUAGGGAUAACAGCGCAAUCCAUUUCAAGAGACCCUAUCGACAAAUGGGUUUACGACCUCGAUGUUGGAUCAGGGUAUCCCAGUGGUGCAGCCGCUACUAAAGGUUCGUUUGUUCAACGAUUAAAACCCUACGUGAUCU
rnacentral:rRNA from 1 species